AUAUUCUUGACAGGUUUUCAGCAGUCAGUGAGGAAAUCCCAACCCCGGAACACUAGCAACAAGUUUACUUGCAGGAGGAUGCAUUCUCUGAACUAAUUUUGAUAUUUGCCAUUAAGAAAGAUAUUACUAAAACCAAAGUUAACAUAUAAGAAUUUUGUUACACUUUUAAAAUCCCAUUAAAACACCACUGAAUUUGUUUAAAUUGCCGUCAUAUUUUAUAGGAUAAUCAUUAAACUUUUGAUACAAAACAAAAAAAUAACAGGUACAUGUUACAGUUACUUGCACUAGGAUGUACACAUCAAAAGCAACUGGCCUUACUGUCUGCAACCAAGCAUCCUACCUCGAGGAGGUUACCUUUCAACUUCUCAAACCUUCAGCAAUUAACCAUGUUUACAUAUUGGGGCUAUAGUCAAGGCCAUCAUAAGUCCUCGCUAGUUCCUGCCAGUCCAUCACAUCCCAUUGCAAGUCAUCCGGGGGGGGGGGAGAAUUUGAGCUAGAGACAUGUUCAGCUGCAUUUUUUUUUAAUAAGAAAUACGGGGGGGGGUGAGGAUCAUUUUAAAAAUGGUAAUUUGGACUCUCUUUACAGAAAAAACCCUCCGCCUAAGCAAAAGCCUGGAUACAGUAGCAUAUCCAACGGUGGGUAUUUUAAAUCAAAUACUGACAUUUUAUUUAUCGAAUAUUAGCACCAGGGCUCUAAGAAAAAAAAAGCCAAAAACACCAUGAAAUAAAACUGAGGAUGUACGGACCAUGAGGCUUUUGAUUUCCAAAAGCUGGAUAUGCCGCUGGUCAUCCAGUCUCAAGUGAAGAUGCAAGCUGAUCAAAUGAAAGUGUGACAAACAUGACGAAGGCAUUCCUUUUUCAAUGUUCCCCCAGCUACUUGUGACUGGACUUGUGAUGGACUAACAGCAUGCACGGCCCAAUACUGGGCAAUACAUGUAUGCUUAGCAGUGUCUACAAAUUAUGUCCACUCUCUCUGUGUAGUGUAGGAUUUCUGCCUCCAAAGCCAUUUCCCUCCACAUUAUGAAAGCUGUGCACCAGACUCUUUGUCUACAUAGCUUUAUAUAACCCGCACAUUCGGUCUCUUGACAAGGAAUGAGCACAUCACAUGGCAUUCACUUUCUACCAUCUUUUCAGAGUCACUUCUGUUAUCUAGAUAGCUUUACGAACUCAUCAACAGAUUCUGUCUCUUAAAAGGAUAAGAGAACAUCGCAUGAUUUUCACUUUCCGCUAUUUUAUUGUUUUCUUGUCCAGAUGGCUUGAUAUUCUCAUCUCUUAUAAGGAUGCCAGCAUGUCAAAUGUUAUUACUUUCUGCUAUGUUGUUGUCUUUAUUGUCUAGAUGGCUUUAAAACCCGAGUCUCAGGUGCCAUCUCUUGGAGCACAUCACGUGACAUUCACUUUGUACUCUUUUAUUGUGCAUAUACCACAGCAAGAUCUUUCACCCUAACCAUGCUGAACCCAACAAAGUUAUGCAGGAUUUCAAUGGUACUAGGGGGUUAGGGUUAAUGAAAGGCCUAGGAGCAACUGAAAUACAUGUAACAUCCUAUCAGCAGCUGGAAUCCCAAGCCAACAUGUAUGCUGUAUCCAUUUUUUUUCGAUCACACACUGAGUUGGAUGGAAGCAUUUUCCUCAAGGAGUUGUUUUGAAAUAUUCAAGUGCCUUUAUAGUUUUACAAUGUACAUUUGAGUUGAAAAACAGGUGCAUUCGUUGAUAGUGUACAGAAUUUAAGGGUGAGGCGGUAUCAAACAAGUACUGCAUGCUUCAUUUGUCUGACUUUGAUAUCAAUACACAGGGAGUUGAACCACCAACUCGAGGCUGGGUAGCUUACAUGUACUUGGCAGAGUGCAGACACAGCGUUACUAUGUUCAAAUCCAACCCCCGUCAAUUUCUUUGCUCAUCCUCAUGAACGCCGACUGCGUUAACUAAUAAAACUAACUGCCUUCAAUGCUCUGUUGAUC